AUCCAUGGCCCCUGCUGAGAACCAGACAAACCCUUUGCUUCAGCCUCCAUCAUAUUACCCUUCCUCACAACUCCAGCAAUCUUCCCACCUUCCAUCAGACUCUAACCUCUUUGGAGGGUAGGGUUUUUAGUACCUUGAUGGUCAAGAGCAUUGGAUUUGGAGCCAGAAGGAUCUUUAGCAUCAAUAUCUGUGAAAGGAAGGAGAAGAAAGCAGAAUUGGGAGGAGAAGUUGAGAUGCCAUGAAGUCCCAAUGAAGACCUCAGCUGCCUCCCAUGGAGCUCUAGUGCUGGGAUGCUCCUUCAGAGUGUCCUGAGCUGGAGUGAGAGCUCUGGGCCUUCAUAUAACCAUGUGGAUGAGUCAUUGGUUGUGGCAUGUUACCAGGCAUGACCUUUUGCAAGCUAGCUCUCCUCACCUGAGGCAAUUCCAAAGAGGGCUGACAGCUGAGGGCCGUCUUCUCCAGACUGGUGCAUCACAACAUCCACCAGCCUCUUCAGAAUGUCUUCCACCUGGGAAUCCUUGGACUUAGGAAAGGUUGUAAUUCCCCCACUGUGAGAUCCUCAAACAACCUCACCUCACCCGGGUAACCUAAAGUUCUUGGGGCCCACUUGUUCUGACCUGCACUUUACCAAUUGGAGAAAUUUAGGAUGAAUAUUAUGGAGGACUGAGGAGCAGCUUCCUCUGGGAUCUCUGAGUGCCUGGGUCUGGAGUGAACUCUGACAGAGGACAGAGGAAGGAGGAGAAGGAAGCUCAGAUGUGUGGAGUGAGGUAAAACUUGAGUAUAUUAACACAGAAGUCUCCCACAUUUCCUUGUGUUGUUCCUCUAGAAGGUGCAAGAAGCAGACAUCCAACUGAGGACAAAAUGAAUCAGUUGUUAAACAUUUGCCAUCUCACCACUGGACAUAAGCAUGUUGAAGGAGGAAUUGAAUAGGAGAAAAGAGAUAAAGAGAAAUCAAAGAUGACUCCAAGGCUUUUGGACUGACAGCACGUUACCGUGAGCAACAGAAUUUGGAAGGAUGCAAGAUGAUAGAAGAAUUUAAGAGUUCACAUCACAGAGAGAGGAGGGAAAACUUCUUUUUGGGUUUGAGGAAAAGGACAUUUAGGGAAAGAAGAAAGAGAAUAAAUUUUUAUUCUUAAAAUCAGGAUGGGGGGUUCACUUGACCUCAAGAGGUGAUAGAGAACCUCAAUAAGGUUGUGAAGUCGAGGAUAGACCAGAGCCCAGAAGACAGAAUAACUCUGGAUGCAUGGAAUAAGGUGCUUCAUGCACAAGUCCCAAGGCGAUGGAUGAGAGCUAUCCUGAUAUGGGUAGAUUGGACUUGUUUCUCACAUUCUAGGGAGAUGAGGAGCUAGUUCCCAUGGCCACUGCUCAGGACCAUGUAUGAAGACCCAGCUCUGGGGGCAUCGCGGACUGUGGGAAGGAACAGCAGGAGAGUGUGAG
rnacentral:lncRNA from 1 species